GGAGGAGUUCCCGAGUGGCCAAAGGGGACAGACUGUAAAUCUGCUGCUUUAUCGCUUCAGUGGUUCGAAUCCACUCUCCUCCACCA
rnacentral:tRNA from 2 species